rnacentral:lncRNA from 1 species
AUUUAUUUUAUUUCAGGAAAUUGUAGAUAAAUAAAGAAAGAAGAGAAAAUGCAAGAAAAAGAAGAAAAGGGAAAAGAAAAGAAGAAAAAAAGAGAGUUGGCAACUAAGGGACACAUGGAGGGCCACAAUCUUCCCAACACUCAAGGCACAUGGAUGGUCAAGAUGGAGCCACCCUACCCCUAAACCCUAAUUCUUUAGUUAUAAAUACCC